rnacentral:rRNA from 1 species
GAACGCUGGCGGCAGGCCUAACACAUGCAAGUCGAGCGCACCUUCGGGUGAGCGGCGGACGGGUUAGUAACGCGUGGGAACAUACCCUUUUCUACGGAAUAGCCUCGGGAAACUGAGAGUAAUACCGUAUACGCCCUUCGGGGGAAAGAUUUAUCGGUGAAGGAUUGGCCCGCGUUUGAUUAGAUAGUUGGUGGGGUAAUGGCCUACCAAGUCUACGAUCAAUAGCUGGUUUGAGAGGAUGAUCAGCAACACUGUACUGAGACACGGCCCAGACUCCUACGGGAGGCAGCAGUGGGGAAUCUUAGACAAUGGGCGCAAGCCUGAUCUAGCCAUGCCGCGUGAGUGACGAAGGCCUUAGGGUCGUAAAGCUCUUUCGCCAGGGAUGAUAAUGACAGUACCUGGUAAAGAAACCCCGGCUAACUCCGUGCCAGCAGCCGCGGUAAUACGGAGGGGGUUAGCGUUGUUCGGAAUUACUGGGCGUAAAGCGCACGUAGGCGGAUUGGAAAGUAUGGGGUGAAAUCCCAGGGCUCAACCCUGGAACUGCCCUGUAAACUAUCAGUCUAGAGUUCGAGAGAGGUGAGUGGAAUUCCAAGUGUAGAGGUGAAAUUCGUAGAUAUUUGGAGGAACACCAGUGGCGAAGGCGGCUCACUGGCUCGAUACUGACGCUGAGGUGCGAAAGUGUGGGGAGCAAACAGGAUUAGAUACCCUGGUAGUCCACACCGUAAACGAUGAAUGCCAGACGUCGGGGGGCUUGCCCUUCGGUGUCACACCUAACGGAUUAAGCAUUCCGCCUGGGGAGUACGGUCGCAAGAUUAAAACUCAAAGGAAUUGACGGGGGCCCGCACAAGCGGUGGAGCAUGUGGUUUAAUUCGAAGCAACGCGCAGAACCAUACCAACCCUUGACAUCCUAGGACCGCCAGAGAGAUCUGGUUUCCACUUCGGUGGCCUAGUGACAGGUGCUGCAUGGCUGUCGUCUGCUCGUGUCGUGAGAUGUUCGGUUAAGUCCGGCAACGAGCGCAACCCACAUCCUUAGUUGCCAGCAGUUCGGCUGGGCACUCUAGGGAAACUGCCCGUGAUAAGCGGGAGGAAGGUGUGGAUGACGUCAAGUCCUCAUGGCCCUUACGGGUUGGGCUACACACGUGCUACAAUGGCAUCUACAGUGAGUUAAUCUCCAAAAGAUGUCUCAGUUCGGAUUGGGGUCUUCAACUCGACCCCAUGAAGUCGGAAUCGCUAGUAAUCGCGUAACAGCAUGACGCGGUGAAUACGUUCCCGGGCCUUGUACACACCGCCCGUCACACCAUGGGAGUUGGUUCUACCCGACGACGCUGCGCUAACCUUCGGGGGGCAGGCGGCCACGGUAGGAUCAGCGACUGGGGUGAAGUCGUAACAAGGUA